ACCGACAGUGCAUAUCUUCAAAAUAAUCUUCAAAUCAAGGUUUCUGUCACUCGAUUCCUUACAAUCACCAACCAUAUUUCUCAGCCGUAAUAGACAUUGGCGUUUUCAACUUUGGCGAUUUCAUCAGACGAUUUUAUCUACAUCUGUCUUAUCUUGAUCCUGGUAUGUUUGUCUGAAUUGUUCAUUUGUUUUUUCAAUCCAAAAUUUCUAUAGAUGCUGAUGAUUUCAUCUAAAAUUCCUUAUUUUCCCAUUCAAUUAUUUUUCGAUUGAUUUUUGGGCCAACAUUCAUCCAUUAAUCUUCAUCGUUGUUGUUGUCGUCUUCUUCUUCUCAUAAUUCCCACUUUUCAAAAAGUAGCAUAAAAACCCACUUAAUUCCCUCUCCAAAUUUGCAUUUUGGGUUAUCAAAUUCGUGUGUUAUUUCGUCAAAUUUGAGAAAUUAAAGUAGAAUUACCAGUUUGUGUUCAGAUUAGGAUUGAAUUUUGGAUUCCGUUUGCGAAUUUUUUUUCUUUAGACUGGUGAAUUUUGACGUAUUGAUCUGAAUUGAAUUAGGGUUAGGGUUAUAAUUAGGGUUUAGAUAGUUUUUUGUAUAAAGAAUUUUGAUGUGAUUAUGUGAUUAGCAUUGAAGGUGUUCAUGAGUAAGUAACGUUUGAUUAUCACUAACAUGCACACAAGAAUCAUUUUGAUCAUUUUGUAUGUGUUUCUACUGUUUUGUACAUUCUGCAGAUUAUCGCACACCAAGUGUUUGUUUAAAUGUCUAAGUUGUGUAGCAUGCUUGUGAUCUUGGCCAUAUCUCACUAUUUUAGUUGUCAUCCUUAGAUUGUCUGUUGAACCUUUAAAUUGAAAUCAAGAUUACAAACCCUCAUGUUGGAUCUUUAUUAAUUACGCGUCUUGCUUUGUUAUGAUCUAAUAAGCAUUUUGUAUUACUUCUAAAUAGCAUGGUGUGACCUUUGAAUUUGUUUGCAGAUUUGGGAUCUUUUUUUGUGAUAUUUUUUUUUACUUUGUAAUUGUUGGAGCCUGGUGAUGGCUGCCAUAUUCAAGAUUUGAGCACAAGAAAGGUUAUCUUGUGCAAUGAGUUCUUCCAACUUUUGGUGUAUUCAAACUUUUUGUGAUAUUUUUUUUUCACUUUGUAAUUGUUGGCAAGAGAUAGUGAUGAGAGAUUAAUGAUGAUGAUGAUAAUGGACACCAUCCCGGCCUGUUUGUCAAACAAAUUGGGGGUGAGUUCAUGGCUAAUAAUCCUAGGCCUCCUGCACUAACUUCUGAUGCUCAAUUGAAGGUAAUAUUUUUCUUAUUUGUCUACAAAUGAUGGGUUUACCAGAAGCACAUUGUUGAGAAGUUGCAUAUUUUAUUUUUAUAUUGUGUCAAAUAGGACUAAAAAGAAUAAUAUGUAUUAGUUAAUGGGUUUUUGUUGUUUGGAAGGCAAUCCCAAAGAAGUGCACUUUCGACCUGUUGGACCCAAGGAAAAGGUUUAUUUCACAUGGGUGAAUGUACGAGCUUACAUUGUUACGUGUGGUGGUUUGUGUCCAGGGAUCAACAUAGUAAUUAUGUAGACUGUAUGCGACUUGAAAUACAUGUACGGUGUUAAUAACAUACUUGGGAUCGAGGUUGGCCAUAUCAUCCCUGCCAUUAUUGCUUUAUAUAACAACAUAAAUGUGUAGUAAUUAUCGUUAAUUAUUACUCCUGUCUUAAUUUUUUCUUAAACCUUAUAGAUGGGACCCACACAAUGAAACAAAAUGUUAUACAACCAAAUGAAUCAAAUGCUUAUUAGCAAACUAGAGCAAGUAACUGAUAAAAUUUAUCCAACUGAUAGUGUUCUGUUCUUAUAGGGAGGCUAUAGGGGCUUUUACUCAAAGAAUACGAUGGAAUUAAAUCCAAAAGUUGUUAAUGAUAUCCAUAAACAUGGUUGUACUAUUCUUCAAAUUUCACGUGGAGGCCAUGAUACUAACAAUAUGGUUGAUAAUAUCCAGGACCGUUGGAUAAAAGAUGUUGGAUUGUUUUUUUUCCAUUUUUGCUAAAAAAGCUAAAUAAAGUGGAUGUUAUUCCCCGCUACAACAAUGUUGGUGGCAAAUCUGAACAGGAAACUCAUAAAAAUUUUGGAGUUUUAGGUAUAUAUAAUUGGAGAUGAUAUGUUGGUGGCAAAUAUGUUAUUCCAAUAAUCAUAUUUGGUUUCAGUUGGUUUUUCAGUUCCAAUAAUCAGUAUAUUGCAAGAUGUAAGUUUUCAUUUUUUUUAAAGGAAGUUGAAAAGUGUCUCCUUCCUGUGGCAGUAGUUGGGAUCCCCAAGACAAUUGAUAACUAUAUUGUUGUAAGUUAUUUGAACCCUUUUUGUAUCGUGUAGAUACUUUAAAUGGUUGUAUAGCAUGUGUUAAGACGGGUAAUAUUUAUAAGGGUUCAAAUAGGUAGACUUAUUAUGUCUCUAUCAGAAUUUUAAUAGAAUAGCAUGUGCCAUAUAUGGUUAUAGCAUGUGUCAGAACCAGUCAAAAUUACAGAAUUUUCUACUUCGAUUUUUAAAUCUCUGCCUAAUCAUGAUAAAUAUAUGAAAACCAUUAAAUUUGCAUAGCAUUUUUGCAUCGUUUUUCAAAGUUCUUUGUUUGCUAUCAUUUGACAAGUUGGGAAAUUUUUUUUGCAGGUUGCAGGGAUAAAAUUAAU